rnacentral:lncRNA from 1 species
ACAAAUCGGUUGACUUCUCUUUCUCUUAUUUGCAGUGUUCCUCUGAAAGUUUGCCUAUUAUCUCCUAUCAGUCUACUUCAGGAGUGGAAUAUAAAGAGGGUGAGCCAACCUUACCACUAUCUGGAAAACAGUGGUUUGCAAGGCAGUUUUCUAACCUGACAUUUGGGUUGAUAGUAGUACUGAGUCAGCAGAAGCUGCCUGUGCUAUACUUUCUCAGCUGAUAAAUUGUUCUAUCCAGACUUUGGACUUGAUUUUGAUGGCCAAGCCAAGUUUUAUGAAUGUGUCCAAGGUAAGGAUACUGUUCUUUUUUGUGAGCUAUACUAAAAUUCUUAAAUGUUACUGAACUGAGAAGAAAGUAUU